UGCCUUUAUAAAUAGGUGCUGGUGCAAUCCUUAUUUCAGAACUAUAUCAGAAUCUCAYCCUCAYGAGGAACUAGUACCAACAAGAAAAGCAAACAUGGGUGGAGAAGAAUCAACGCCACCACCACCACCACCAACCCCACCAAAGAAGGAAUUUGACCAACAAUGGAGGAAAACAUGUUGGAGUAAAGGAGAGAGAGACCACAUGGUGGUGAACUGAGGAACUUUAAACUGAGUGAUCCUGACGUGGGUCAGCUCAGAUGCCUGCAUUUGGACCAGUCGG